UACGAAGGGGGCUAGCGUUGCUCGGAAUUACUGGGCGUAAAGGGCGCGUAGGCGGCCACCGCAAGUCGACUGUGAAAUCUCCGGGCUUAACCCGGAAAGGUCAGCCGAUACUGCGGGGCUAGAGUGCAGAAGGGGCAACUGGAAUUCUCGGUGUAGCGGUGAAAUGCGUAGAUAUCGAGAGGAACACCUGCGGCGAAGGCGGGUUGCUGGGCUGACACUGACGCUGGAGGCGCGAAAGCUAGGGAGCGAACGGG
rnacentral:rRNA from 1 species